UGGGGAAUUUUGGACAAUGGGGGCAACCCUGAUCCAGCAACGCCGCGUGAAUGAAGAAGGCCUUAGGGUUGUAAAGUUCUUUUAUCUAGGAGCAAAAGCUUAGUGCUAAUACCGCUAAGUGUUGAGAGUACUAGAAGAAUAAGCACCGGCUAACUACGUGCCAGCAGCCGCGGUAAUACGUAGGGUGCGAGCGUUAAUCGGAAUUACUGGGCGUAAAGAGUGCGUAGGCGGCUAUGUAAGUUAGAUGUGAAAUACCUGGGCUUAACCUGGGAGGUGCAUUUAAGACUGCAUGACUAGAGUUUGUCAGAGGGGGGUAGAAUUCCAAGUGUAGCAGUGAAAUGCGUAGAGAUUUGGAGGAAUACCGAUGGCGAAGGCAGCCCCCUGGGAUAGAACUGACGCUGAGGCACGAAAGCGUGGGUAGCAAACAGG
rnacentral:rRNA from 1 species